rnacentral:lncRNA from 1 species
ACGAUUUUUUUUUCUCGAAAUUUAACAAAUACCUGGUAUGCAACAGCUUUUAAGGCAAUUCUUCCCACAGCCAGCGCUACGACGAGCAGUAUCGUCCGCUUCAUCCUUUUGGUAAUUAGAAACGACAGUCGGAACCCUCUUAAUCCUAAGCAUCAUCUUUGCUACUAUUUCUUUUCUUCUUAUAAGCGAUCUAAAAAAGCUUCUUCAAUGGAAUUUUUUUAUAUAUCUAUGGAAGAUUAAAAGAUAUCUAUAUAUAUACAGCUGAAACUCUAAAAGACAAUACCACCACCAGCAAGGAAGAGGAGAUCGGAAGGACUACCACCUUCAGAAGGCAAAGCUCCACGCCCACCGUGCGGCGAAGGGUUGCUUUCGUUCACACAACCCUUACGUCGUACAGUACGGACAUGAAU